rnacentral:rRNA from 1 species
UGCCAGCAGCCGCGGUAAUACGAAGGGUGCUAGCGUUGUUCGGAAUGACUGGGCGUAAAGGGUGCGUAGGCGGCCAGAAGCGUCUGAUGUGAAAUCCCUGGGCUUAACCUAGGAACUGCAUUGGAUACGGUCUGGCUAGAGUCCGCGAGAGGAAGAUGGAAUUGUGCGUGUAGAGGUGAAAUUCGUAGAUAUGCACAAGAACACCGGUGGCGAAGGCGAUCUUCUGGAGCGGUACUGACGCUAAGGCACGAAAGUGUGGGGAGCAAACAGGAUUAGAUACCCUGGUAGUCCACACUGUAAACGAUGAAUGUUAGAUGUCGGGGAGGUUACUCUUCGGUAUCGCAGCUAACGCAUUAAACAUUCCGCCUGGGGAGUACGGUCGCAAGAUUAAAACUCAAAGAAAUUGACGG